GGGGGUGCCCGGUUUUGACAGCAGGCAGAGUUUGAUUGUAAGCACGCCGAGCGCUGUGUGGCGGCUCGUAAAUCCCGACGCUCGAACUACAAAUGGCAAUAACAGCUACGCACUCGCUGCCUAAUUUUCAAGGAAAAUUGGCUUAAUCGCCGGACCCCAGGAGGCCUGGCGACGAGUAUCCCGGAGAGAUGUUCCGCUCCUAACGUCUUUCCAUACGGGGUAUCAACUCUUUGGAGAUAGUGCGCGGGGUGUCCCGGACCGCGUGCGAAAUUCAAGGGACUGGGCCCCGUGUUCGGUUGCCGUCUGCCAGGCACGGGGAGGAGGAUCAAACGACGGAUAAGCGUGUAGAAAGCUUUCGGGUUCCCUGUUUGGACGCGGGUUCGACUCCCGCCACCUCCACA
rnacentral:tmRNA from 1 species